GAUACGAAAAAACGUCGCGCGGUUAUGACUCAUUUACGACAUCUUCAAUUCGAUUAUUCUUUUUCAUAAAAUAAGAGCUAUGUCACCUUCAAGUUAACGCUGUAUGAAUAAAAACGUAUGUAUAAAUAUUAACAUUAAAUUUAAAGUGUCGCAGACUUGUUUACAUUUAAUUUUAAACACAUUUGUAUGAGUUUCGGUAAAUAACCGAGAAUACGAAGUCAACUUCAGAAACCGAUUGAGUAACAGGAAAAGUACACAACUUCAGAUAGACAGAGUGGUUACUUCCCUUUUCAUUUUUCUUAAUCAUGGUUUUGUUUGAGAGGCUUACCAAUAAAUUACGAAGAUGGUAUUAUGUGUACGAACUUCAUACAGCUUUGUACAUGAUGGAACCUUGGGAGAAGAACUUGUGUAAUUUUGUCGUGUUGUCAGUAAUUUUUAUGUCAACGUACACCACCUACAUCUUCCUACCAAGGUAUACAAGGAGUGUGUUAGCUUACUUUGGCUAUUUGUGAAUUUCAUCUUAUCAUUGUAUUGUCAUCACAGCUGUAUGUGUGUAUACUGAAGAGGUUGAACCAGUUUAACUCGAGGAAUACACCAGAAGAGAAAAGCCUCUUUCUUUUUUGUUCAUUCACUGUAUAGAAUAUUACUUUUGAUAGCAAAAUAUGAUUACAGAUCUUUGACAUUUUUUCAAGAUUUGGUUAUAAUCAAGUGUGUGUUCAAAUUAUAUACGUUUGAGAGCAGAUUUGUAGGUUCUGUGAUUAUUUUCUGGUUCAAUAAUCCAAAAUAUUUACAUUUUGAUAGUAAAAUGAAUUGUCAGAAAACUACCUGUAUUACAGUUGAUUUCCUCAAAUGAGGACUUCAUAUGUGUUUUGACUAAUGUACUUUUGUGAAUGCAGAGACGAAAAAUACAAAAUUUGUAAAAUUAGCAAAUAAAUUUUAAUGUAAUAGUACAGUGUAUCAAUUAUUGCUGCUUAUUUCUAAUGAUAAAAUUGGAUAGACCUGUUUCUUUUGGCAAAGACAUGGGAAGAGAGUAUAGAUAAUUAUGCUGCACUAAAUAAAUGUGAUGAUUUCUUUAAUACAAGUUCAGAAUCCAAAACGUUUUCAAGGAGACUAUAAUUCUUGGUAUAACAUGUGAUUGAUACAGUGUAGCAUGUAAAUAACAUGCUAAUGCAACACUUAAUUUACCCAGCCUUAAUUAAGUAGUGUAUAAUUGUUUUAGUGAAGAAACUAGUUAAGUAUAAGACUUAGAUAAAUUUAACUUUCAUGCUUAUGGUUCUUAUCUCUCCAUAAACCAAGUGUCCUUAUUUGCAGAUUUUUGUAAAGAAAUGCACUCAUAUGAUGUUUUUGAAAAUGGAAUUGAUUAUAUAAUUUAUGUUGUUAAAACGAAAAACUGAAUUGGAAGAUAUUCAUUAGUCAAAGGUUUCCAUAACUCUCAGGAAAAUAUAAAAAGUUAAAAUAUGAGAGAACCUGUGACACACGUGUCAAAACAUGGUAGUGUUAGUAUGCAGUAUUUGGUUAUGCAAGUCCUGAUAAAUAACUAUUACUUUUAUCGAAGAUAAAAAUUUAUUUAAUUGUAAAACUGGUGUUUAGCUUGGCAGAUUUAAUUUGUGUUUCAAACAGCUUCAUGUAUUGAUUAUGCUGUUCUCCAGUACAUAUAUUAUAUAAAACUUUUAAUGUAAUGUAAAUAUAAGUGUCUAUGAAUUACUGGACCAAAUAAACUGGUGUUUUAAUUUUUA